rnacentral:rRNA from 1 species
AUGAACAAUCAUGGACCAGACGCCUCUAGGUAUGUGAUGCCUAUCGAGGACAUGAAAGUGUGGGCAAGGCUAUGGUUUUCUAGUUGCGCUAUCCAAGCUUGCAAGCGUGAUGCAAAUAGAGCUGCACAUGCAGUGGCUAGGUUGGGAUAUUCUUGUGAUGUAAAUCCUGCCUUCCUGUGGGAGGAUGAUGUUCCAGCUGUAGCUGCAAACGUUGUGGUGGGCGAGAUGCCCAUUUUGCCUGCAGGCUAUACAUAUGCCCUUUCUCUAAGAUUGAUUGCACUGUCCAGCGGCAAUAUUUUCGUUGAUGAAUUGCCCUACCAAAUCUCCAUACGGCCUUGUUCGGUUGUAGCAGAAUUAAUCCUCUAG